CGGGCCCGCUUCCCCCCCGCGGCCCCGGGCUCCGCCGCCGCCGCCAGGCCCGGGAGAGCGGCCCGGGAGGGCCCGGCAGCUCCAGCCGCACCCCCCGGCCCGGGCAGCGCCCGCCGGGCUCCGUCCGCCGCGGUGAUGGGGUGAAGAGCCAGGAGUGUGUGGAGAAAGGACAAAGAGCCCCAGAAGGAUCUACAUGACCCACUUCAGGGCACAACUGCUUUGAACUUCUAAUGGGCUAGAAAAACUGCGUUUUAGAUCAGUUUUUAAACUAACACAAGCCAUGUGUGUUGUUCCUUAAACCUGACUUUAAAGCAAACUCUCUCUUGGCUUCGUGAGCUCAUUAUUCCAAGGAAAACCCUGGCUUUGUAGAUCCUCCGGGAGAAGGUCCAUGAGCCAGGCCUGUCCUUAGACCCCAGGCUGCAGGUGGAUCUGAGCUGAGCAGCAGGACCCUUGCCCAGCAGUGACCACAUGAAACGUCUCCUCAAGGGAUGAAUUCUGAGUGUGACUCUCCCAGUCUAGAAGCAGCGACAGGAGAACAGUCCUGCAUUUGAAACCAGGAAGAUGCAAGAAUGUGAUUCUGCUCCCACCCCAUCCCAUGGGCUGGAAAAUUAAUUUAAUCAACCCCUCAGCUGGUGGAACACUGCCAGGCCCCGGGAGGGGGGGACACAUGGUAGCCAACCAUCUGCAGCCCUCCCAGCUCUGCCAACCAGCCCAAACUAAAAGAAUGAGAGAGAGAACCCAGAGCAGGGAUCUCCCCAGAGAUGGAAACUCCUGGAUUGACAUCCUGGGUGUCUGUCUGGGAAGGAAAUACAGCUCUGCUGGUCAGCUCUGAGGGUGAGAGAUGUCAUGAAGGUGAACUCCAGGCUACUGUGACUUUUGUCAUCCUUGGGUGUUAUUUUAGGCUUUUGCCUGGGUAAAAUACAACAGCUGAGAACUAACCUGUCAGUGUUAAAACUGAGCUACAAGUUUCUGCUACAGAAGCUGCUGAGAGGGAGGGAACAAAGCAGCUGUGUGGCCAAGGGCCUGCAUGAGCCAUCUGCAUCUGGAAAGUGCUCUUCAGCUUGAGAGGGUCAGGUUUGUGAACACCUCAGGAGGCAGGCAGAGGGUAUCCAAAGCAAGCAGUGCCACACACUCCACAUCCAACUCAUUAAAACAAUUUGAACUGUUAAGAAAA